rnacentral:rRNA from 1 species
CUUGACCCAAAUCACGUGCCAGCAGUCGCGGUAAUACGUAGAAGACUAGUGUUAUUCAUGUUUAAUCGGUUUAAAGGGUACCUAGACGGUAAAUCAAGCCUAAAAUUAAAUGAAGGGACUAAUUUACUAGAGUUACUUCUGAGGGGGUAUUAAAGUACUACUGGUGCAGAGAUGAAAUUCUGUCAUACCUCUUUUCAAUAGAAAAACAAUGGCACAGGUAUAGGCGAAAGCAUCCCCUUAUGUGAUAACUGACGUUGAGGGACGAAGGCUUUGUGUAGCGAACAGGAUUAGAGACCCCCGUAGUCAAAGCAGAAAAUGAUGAAUGUCAUAGAUUAGAUAAACAAGUUUAUUCUAUAAAUGAAAGUGUAAGCAUUCCACCUCMAGAGUAAUUUGGCAACAUUGGAACUGAAAUCAUUAGACCGUUUCUGAAACCAGUAGUGAAGUAUGUUGUUUAAUUUGAUGAUCCGCAAAAAACCUUACCACAAUUUGAAUAUUCAUAUUUUUUAUUGUCUUUUUAAUUUUCUUCUGAUUUUAUUUUUCUAAAGAAAAAAAGAAAAAAGAAAAAGAGGCGAUAUGAUAUCUUUACAAGCGUUGCCCGGCCGUCUUCAGUUAAUGUCGCGAGACUUUGGUUAGUUCC